GUGGGGAAUAUUGGACAAUGGGCGAAAGCCUGAUCCAGCCAUGCCGCGUGUGUGAAGAAGGUCUUCGGAUUGUAAAGCACUUUAAGUUGGGAGGAAGGGCAGUAAGUUAAUACCUUGCUGUUUUGACGUUACCGACAGAAUAAGCACCGGCUAACUUCGUGCCAGCAGCCGCGGUAAUACGAAGGGUGCAAGCGUUAAUCGGAAUUACUGGGCGUAAAGCGCGCGUAGGUGGUUUUGUAAGUUGGAGGUGAAAUCCCAGGGCUCAACCUGGGAACUGCCUACAAAACUGCAUGGCGAGAGUACGGUAGAUGGUAGUGGAAGUUCCUGUGUAGCGGUGAAAUGCGUAGAUAUAGGAAGGAACACCAGUGGCGAAGGCGACUACCUGGACUGAUACUGACACUGAGGUGCGAAAGCGUGGGGAGCAAACAGGAUUAGAAACCCCAGUAGUCC
rnacentral:rRNA from 1 species